CCCCCGCGUUCACCCGUAUUAUUUGCUAAUAUAUAAUAUUAUUAUUAUUAUUAUUAUUUAUUAUUUUUUUUUUUUUUUUUGAACUUUUGACCCGGCAAAAGGAUAUUACGACGUGACCUCAUCGUCCGCGAUGACCGGUACGAAUAUGACGGACACCUGCAGUUGUACCGCGCCAAAGGAAAUCAUUAAUAACACGUCUGCGCGUAUAGAUUUUUUACAAGGAAAAACAAAUAUGCACCAUAUGUUUUGGAUUCUGUGCGGAGCGAGAUUGGUUUCACAGCGAUGUCUGCAGUGUUUUUUUUUUUUUUUUUUUUUUUGUCGGAAAUCGCGAUGCAGUCGAACGUUGACAAACGACCUUUUUUGUCGCGUUUCCGAUCUUGUCGGUGCGUUGUAGUAGAGGUCGUUUUUUUCAUCUCGUUGUCUUUUCUCAACGAGCGGCAAAAACGCGCAGGAAAAACGAAACAGUGUAUACGACUUCCUUUGUUUUUGUUUCUCGAGUUUUCGCGAUAAUUCAGUUAAAAAGACAAUCGCAGACGUCUGAAAACUGCACAGUAUUUUAUCGACGUGGUAGAAUUUUCGAAACGUCGCGGCCACUUUUCGUCUAUCCGCAGACGUCUUAAAUGUUCUUAAAUGAAUCGCGGCCGAUCGCUGCAGUCGUGUAUAGUGGACGAUUCGGGCGGCGCUGCUGUUUUUCAACGUUCACAAAUAAGACGCGAUUUUCGGCGUCAUUCGUUUCAAAGCAUCGCGCAAAAAGAAACGCGUGACGUUAUCGAAUCGUAAUUAUUACGGCCUUUCAAAACAUGUACACCCGAACUCCGCCGCUCAAAAUCCUUUUUCGGUAUCAUCGCUUGAUCUUUGUAUACAGCUAAAUACAUUAAUUCCCUCCUCUAUACCUUUUCAACUUCUCAGAGAAACAUGUCCGUUUGUUUUUAUCAUCGGAAUCGCGUAAAAAUCUCAACGCCAUUCACUACGGUCCAUUAUAGUCCAGUCAUUACACUAGUUACGACUAUAUCAGAUUCGGUUUUACACGCGACGUAGCGUAUAACACACACAAACAGACCUUGGAAAUAUGCGGGGGUAUAGGAUUUGUUUUUAAAUUCCGAGUGGAGCGAAGAACUUUAUUAUUUUAAAAAAAAAAAAUGUUUUUUUUUCUGUGGACAAUUUUCUGAAAGAAAAUUAAUGUGGAGGGGUAGUGUAUAGAGUUUUUUCGAUUUUUUCCGGAGUUUUCUCAAGAAAAGUGAAAAAUCGAAAAAAAAACUUACGGAAAACGGGAAAACGUAAGGAAUGUAGGUAUUGGUUAAAAAUAUUAUGGCUUUUUUUUUUCCUCAUCAAUUUCGUUCCAAAUCAAAACGGUAGCAAUUUUUCUAUUAGAAAAUUUGACCUGGGAGGUAUUUUAUAGAGGUAAUCGUUCGAUUUUCUCAGAGGUUUUUUCAUCAAAUGUGAAUGACCCAGAAAAAACACGGGAAAACCGGUACAACAUUAAAAAUAUUUAUAUACUGUUGACAAAACAUCAUUAUCAACUGAACUCCGUUCAGAAUCGUUUUUUCGUCAGCAGCGGUGUAUCGUUGUUUUAUACGUGUACACUUAAUUACCCGUAAUUACUUGUAACAGUAGCCGCGCCCGAUCCCAUUAUCCUAAAAUGUCUUUUUUUUUUUUUUUUAGUAAAUGUAUGAUUUAUAUUACUUGUUACCCCCCAUAUAGGCAAUGUAUAUAGUUCAUUUAUUUUCUACGUUUUGCUAUUGAAGAAUACAGUGUUUUUUUUUUUUUUUUUUUUUAAUAGUGUUACACACGGUGCAGUUUGUCCCUCCUGUUUUGCCUAGUUUUCGGCCCCGUCGUCGAUUUUUCUGCACGUUUUUUUUUUCAUUUCUGUACCGGGCGUUUUUCUCCGUCGGAUCGGAUGCCGACAGAACCGUUACCGCCGAUAUCUCGACACUAUCGUUUAUGCGCUACGUAUCGGCCAGCCCCCCCCCCCGAAUCGAUAACAAUAAUAAUAAUAAUAAUACGUCGCGGCGAUAAUAACGAUUCGGCGUUUACAUUGACGGACGGCUUUUAGCGUAUUUACAACCGGACGAGAAUAUCGUCAUCAUCGUUAUAUACACG
rnacentral:lncRNA from 1 species